rnacentral:ncRNA from 2 species
UGAAAAUUAUUUAUCAUCCUUCGUAUAUCCUCGAUAAUAUGGUUCGAGAGUCUCUACCGGGUUACCAUUAAUAACCUGACUAUGAAGGCAGAUGAUUCUAUG